GUUUGGAUUGUUUGCCUUGGC
rnacentral:miRNA from 1 species